rnacentral:lncRNA from 1 species
ACUGGCUGGAGGCUCCGCCCACUCUUCUAGCUGCUCCAGCCUGGUACUCUGGCCCCACUCUCUUCUUCAUCUUCCUUCACCUUCUUUUUGACUCUGGAAAGCCUCCCCCAAAGCCCAGGACAAAGAUGACUUUUGGAAGAUUGCCCAAAACGAUAGCUAGAGUGUGCCCUGGGCUCUGGGAGAUGGAGGAGAGAGGCGACAGGAGGAGUCAAUGGUUUGCCCAGUGCUGCGGGGAGGCGCUUUGCACGCUCUAGAUCGCAAGCCAAACGUCUAGUGCCAAGAGCUGUCAGGCAAAAGACUGGUCAGCUGGAGAGACUUCUCGGGACGCGGAGAGGUAGAACAGGUUUGCAGAGCGCUGGCAACCUCGGUUGACACUAAGGAUCUAUUGCCCCGCGCGCGCGCGAUGCGUGAGCUGAAUUGGGAUGGAAGGGCCUGUUGAAGAGCCAGGGAAGCAGCGUUUAGGAGAGAGUUUUCCGAGGCCACGCCGUGACGGUCGACAUUAAUAUUAGUGGAAAGACGCGUGCCCCGCAGUAAGAUCAUGAAAAGGGAUCCAGGAAAUGAAAGAGGAGAGGCAAGAAGGUAAGAAACACCCACGCGUUCCUCAGAAAUUGCGUGGGGAUGGGUGUCUUUAGUGGUUCAGGACUGUCAAGCUGACUCUGAGACUAUAGAAGAGACCACGCUAAUGCAACCCUCUACAACGGCAUCCUUAAACCCAGCAGAGCGGAAAGCUAAUGCCCUUUCCUUUCCGCCCGGAUGCAAGACUGGAUGGAAGGCAUCCAACAUGAUGAAAUACGGUGCAGAAGAAUGGUCUGGGCAGAAGGAGCGCUGGGUACUAAAGUUGCAUGACCAAAGAGAUCCGAGAGCUGUCUGCCACACCCCCUUCCUGCCUGGUUCCCUUUCUGACUGCCCUGGUCGCUCCCUUGGACUAUGAUGAACACGACUGCAGCGCCCCCUGCUGUGGGGAAGCUACAGGGCACAGAAAACACGUCCUUGCAGGGCUGACUUCCAACUUCCCCUUUUGCACCUAACCAGCAAGCUCUUCAAAGAUAAUAAGGAAAGUGGACUCCCUGGGUAUGUGGCAGCGAUCUGAAAAGUUUGAACGCCUGCAGAAUAAGGAUGUCUGACUUCACAAAGAAAUCGUUUGGAAACUGACAAAUGUGUGUUCAACCUCCAACAGGCAAAUUGUGAUUUGAUCAAAAUAUUAUGAGCACGUAGGAAGUUCUCAAAUAAUAUAUUGAAGAUGGUGAUUCUUGUUCUUCAGUGCUCCCCGGUAUAAUGUAUUUUUUAAAGUUUUUUUAAAAAUCAUACCAGUUGCUCCAUUCGGAUCCUCUCUGACCUUCUUCUGAGCUUAUGUAUUGAUAUUGGAUCCUGGGGCACUGGGGGAAGAAUAAAUACUUAAGUCAGAUACCUAGAUUUGAGUAUCAACUCAGCUAUUAAUUAUUUGAGUAAGUUGGGGCCAAUCACCUCCUUCACCCCUCACUUAUAAAUACUACUUUGGUUGGGUGAGUUUCCAUGUAAAUAAAGCAUCCAGAGGGGGACUGGUAAGUGCAA